AGAGUUUGAUCAUGGCUCAGAUUAAACGCUGGCGGCAUGCCUUACACAUGCAAGUCGAACGGCAGCACGGGGGCAACCCUGGUGGCGAGUGGCGGACGGGUGAGUAAAGCAUCGGAACGUAUCCUGGAGUGGGGGAUAACGUAGCGAAAGUUACGCUAAUACCGCAUAUUCUGUGAGCAGGAAAGCAGGGGAUCGCAAGACCUUGCGCUCUGGGAGCGGCCGAUGUCGGAUUAGCUAGUUGGUGGGGUAAAGGCCUACCAAGGCGACGAUCCGUAGCGGGUCUGAGAGGAUGAUCCGCCACACUGGGACUGAGACACGGCCCAGACUCCUACGGGAGGCAGCAGUGGGGAAUUUUGGACAAUGGGCGGAAGCCUGAUCCAGCCAUGCCGCGUGAGUGAAGAAGGCCUUCGGGUUGUAAAGCUCUUUCGGUGGGGAAGAAAUUGCACGGGUUAAUACCCUGUGUAGAUGACGGUACCCGACUAAGAAGCACCGGCUAACUACGUG
rnacentral:rRNA from 1 species